rnacentral:miRNA from 1 species
UGGUGAAGACUAUGGUCAUGAUCAUUAAGACUAUAGUUAUGACUAUAGUCUUAAUAAUCAUAACUAUAGUCUUAAUAGUCAUGACUAUAAUCG